UUGCAAGCCUCCAGUGUACUUGGUCUUCAGUGACCCUGUGCAUUCCUACACUGCUUGCAAGAACAAUUUUGAAACGGUUUGAGAUCUUGUUCUAUUCCAUCUAUGGAGCAAGUUACAGAAAUUUCAGACAGUU
rnacentral:snoRNA from 1 species